rnacentral:lncRNA from 1 species
AUGCCCUCCCCGCUGUCUGUGACUGAGUCCUCCAGAGCUUUUGUGCCUCUGACUCCUCUGCACUGAGCGCGCAGCCACACCUCAAUCGCAGCUUAGGUUUUCUGCUGGCACUUGUUCCCACAGAAGUGUCUCCUCCUGGACAGCUGCUCUGCUAAGUUGGUUCUCUAUCCACACACCUGCCUCCACAACUUUUAGGGUACUAGUUUUCCCUGUGACCUCACUUCUCAGAAGAAUCUAGGAAGAGUUGUUGACUUUCAGGGAUUUUUUAAAGUUUUUCCUAAGGAAGAGGGAAAGACUUUCAAGACCCUUAUACACUGAGCUGAAAAUCAAAAGUCCUAUCAUUCAAACAGAAAAUCAAUAUUGUUUGCUCUGUUACCAGGGAUCCAAUCCUAAUUCUAAUUUCUGAAAACAAAGGGGUUUUAAAAUAAUAACCACCUAUGAUUUUUCUGUUUCACAUGGGCGGAGAGAGCAGAAAACCCUGUGAUCAACAAAUGAAGCAAGACGUCCACUGUCCAUGACUGAAACAAGCUGAAGCCACCUGGUUGGAAAGGAAAUGAAAUGAAGCUUGGAGCAAGACCCCGUGAACUUAUCUGCCAUGGCUGCAGGGGUGCCUCCGCUUUGCCAUCCACCCUGGGAACACAGCUGAUGGACUCUGCUCUCGGCCACUGUCCUGGAGGGACCCCUUCCUCUGCCUCCUGUUCAGGUUCCUUAUUUCUUUCGCAAUUGUGGCAGAAGGUGCUGCUGUUUUUCACAGACAUGAGUGGGACAGGGUUUCUCUCCUAAUAUUUAUUUGCCCUCAGAGCAAGGGCUGUUCUGCAUGGACCCAGGAUUUUGAGGAAUAAGAGGAUGUCACUGCGUUUUGGGGGAUUUGGCUGUCUGGCCAGCCUUUGAGUACCGAGUGGAUACAAUAGUAGCAAAGUGAGGUCCUUCAUCACCUGCUGUUUGCACACAUCCAUUCUAGUUCAGCAACAUUUUCUGCUCGUGUGAGCAGUUACCUUUCAUGAAGCCCACGCUCAUUCUGUUAAGGGAUAAUAUUACGUGGUUUUGACCCUCAGGGUAGCCACACAUCCCCUCUGCGAUUGUCCAUUUUACUCAUUUGUUGACUCAAAAAAAUGAGACAGGUGGCAGGGCCUGCAUCGGGGACUUCUCAGUGACCCUCACCUGGAUCCCAGUCAGGCUGGGGUCUCGGGGAAGCAGAAACCCAAGGCUGCCCAGCUCCCCAGGCUUCAUCCUUGCUUGGAACCCAAUAAGAGUUUCCCUUGCUCUUCCUCUCCCUGCUGGAACCAAAUGUACGGAAUUAAAAUCUAGGGUUUUUAAAUUAAUGCUAUCAAUGGCCGGAGAUGCCAGUUCAAGCAUCAAAACCACGUGACAAGCAGCCGUCCACUCAGGCCUCUGCAUGUGGUCCCCGAAGGCCAAGACCAGGGAGAGAGCCGGAAAAUGAAGAAUUGGAGUCUCACAGAUGGGCACCACCUGCGCCUCAGAUAUCGAGAGAAAGGAGGAAGCCGGAGGAGGAAAUGAAGUGUUUAGACUUUAAACAUCAGAGUGGAAAAUUGAAAUAAAUUCAUUACAUCAGCCUACCCUAGUUUAAAUAACAGAAAUGUAUUCUCGACAAGCUUUCAUCCUUUCCUUUCAAUUUAUUACAUUGAUUAACACCCCAAACCAUUAAUUCCAUCUGUGUUUUGUUUUCCUCCUCUCUUCCUGCUGUCACACAGUGCUCUGGGGAUAUGACAUCGUUCGUUUUGAAAAUCACUGGUUCAAAGAGAAGAUUUGGAAAGUGUGAAAAAAAUAACUCUUUGAACCAUACUCGUUUAAGACACAAAGAAACACCGAGGGUAGGCCAUGCAUUAAUGUAGCUUUAAAUAAUGGUAAUUUUUAUGAUUCCAUAAAAUAUUAAGGUUUCCCAUUUCAGAAACUAGCAACCAAGGGCAUUGUCAAUGUAAAUGUAAGUAAUUGAACCUAUCUAGAAUAUUGAAGAGGAUUAUUUCAGGCCAUUAUUUCUCAUAUCCUGCACAAAUAUUUAGUAGUAAAAUACCAUACUUUACUCUAUCCAAAGGCCACGGAUAUCAUAAAACAACUGAUCAGCACAUUCUCCCUGCAGCUGGUAGAGCCAUCUCACAAACGACCUGGACCUUCAGGAAGAAAUGGAAUCAGCUGUUACAAUUAGCCCUGAGGAAAGAUUGAUUACUUGAGGUCACCUGCGCUGCAUAAUAAAUGGGCCUGGGAGUCUCCUGGGCUUGUGGGGUGGAAGCCUCCAUCCCUGAGUUCCCUUGAUCUUAAAGACGAUCUUGAUUUUCAGUGCUUUCACCUGGGCACAGGUACAUUCGUGAUUAAAAUCAACUGUGUUAAAAGAAGACACAUAAACAUCUUACGUGACCUUGGCAUUUCAGGAUCAUUCACAAAGAAAUUUGCAUCCUUUUUCUUUAUCUUCAUAGCAGUUCUGUGCCAUCAUUUUCCCUCCUUUUACAGAUGAUGUUCAGAAAGGGUUAUGUCUUCCCCAAUGUGUUAGACCCAUAGCACCAACAGAAGCAGAAUUUGGAGUCUGUUCUUGUGAUUAUGCAUGUAGGAUUUUUUUUUCACUUGUAUUUUCCAAGCACUGUCUUUUUAUUUUAUUUUAUUUUUUAUUAUUUUUUUGAGAUGGAGUCUCACUCUGUCACCCAGGCUGGAGUGCAGUGGUGCAAUCUUGGCUCUCUGCAAUGUCUGCCUCCUGGGUUCAAGUGAUUCUCAUGCCUCAGCCUCCCCAGUAGCUGAGACUACAGGUGUGCACCACCACACCUCGCUAAUUUUUGUAUUUUUAGGAGUGACGGGGUUUCACCAUGUUGGCCAGGAUGGUCUCGAACUCCUGACCUCAGGUGAUCCACCCGCCUGCUUUACACCAAGUUCAUUCAGGAAAUUGCUAAGUGUGCAUUUGCUGUUCUCAAACCAUAAGCAUGCCUCCAAGAAAAAGAAUGAACAAAGGGAAAAACUACUCUGGUAAAAGUGUAGGAUAAAGAGCAUUUCAUAUUCAAGAUGCUCCUCUGCAUCCUGGGACUUCUCUGCUGCCCCCUCCCCUUCACCAGCCUCCUUCCAUGCCCUUUGAAGAGAAUGUGAAUACACGUGCAUGUGGCAUAGCAGGUAUAUUGCACAAUAUUAUUUGGAAAUACUUUCAGGUCUCAUGCCCAAGUUCUUUGAUGUGUGUUAUUUAGACUUAAGAGCAACGGCUGAAGAUGAAAGAGUAAAAAAGUCCCCUUGUGCUAUUUCUUGUAAAAAGUCAUAAUUGUGUGUCAUAUGUGAUGAUAAAGUGAGUCAGCAAACACAAAUAUCUCCAGAGAAUCCUUUAUUCUGCUAUUUUCCACCUAGUGAAAUUGUCUGAUGGAGGGAAGGGGAUAUUAACUAGAAUUCUGAUUCUAAAGAAACCAUGUUUGUUUGUCAGUGUUAUUUGUUUCGGGAAACCAAUAAGAAAUCAAGUCAGCCAACCCUUUAACUAUCUGGAAAGACAUUGCAAUGCAUUAAGAACUGAAGUAUUGUAAGUCAGUAUUGACCAUCAGGACUUUGAAGCAAAGAAUAGUUGUCCAUGUCUUCAGACAGGUCAAGGAGUUGAGAGGAAAACAUUCGGGAGUGGGCACAAGAUGAUCUGAAUAUGGGUUAAAAGAUGCAAGCUGUGUGGUCAGCCGCAGGAAGGAUGCCUUAGGUCUCUCUUUUGCAGAAAUAAAAGAUCAGGGCAGUUAUGUGAAUCUAUGAAAUUUCUCAUGGCUGUUAUUUCGGGAAUGUAUUGGAACCUUACAUUCGGGUCAUGGCUCUGCUGCUAUCUGGCAACAUGACACGAAUCCAGACCUCACACUUCACCUUCGUAACCUCAGGGGAAAAAUGAGGAUGAUAAGGUCUUUCUGUCCACAUUGUAUGUUCAUUCUGAGGAAAGAAAAAUUCUGAUAUGUUUAUAUGUGUGUAUAUUAUGCACACACAUAGGCUUACUGAAGCUUUGAGUCACUAUUUAAUGUAUUUUUUGCUUAUCUCAAGAAGGCUUGUAGAAGUUCACAAAAUCUACCAAUUUCAGGCUGCAGGAUAAAAUACCAGCAGGGCGUAGUGGUAACAACCCCAGACUGUGAAGUUAGGAUGUGCUGAAUGUGAAUCCUGACUAGUAACCCGUGUGACUUCUAGCAAGUUACCUAAGUUGUCUGAGCCUCUGAAAUGAAUAUUGUUUCAGUCCUGCCGCCAUCGAGGUCUUGUGCAUUAACUGAGAGUCACUAUAACAUUUAAGCUCAGAACCAUACCUUGAGCAGAGCAAGCACUGCCCCAGUGGUAAAUAUCAGCCUCUGCCCUGCAAGGACACUUGUGUCCCAGGUCAGUGCCCGCACAGCCGCAAAGCCACAGAGAGACGUGGUUUUGCCUCCUGUGGUGCUUGUGAUCUAUGGAGAGACAGACAUUGAAGAAACAAGCAAAAUAUCACACAGGAGACCUGUAACAUUGUAGGACUGAUGAGAGCAACAGUGAGUUGGGGGAGCUUUAAGCAACUCCAACAAGAGGACCCUUUCUGGCCUUGAUUGAGAAAACUCUUCCUCCUGGCACACACAUGCCAUUUGGGUGUGGGGACUCACUGCGGAGGCAGCACUGCCCCUUCUAUCCAGCCAAGGGCUCCUUUCUAUGCCUCACCCGUCUCCCCCCGACCCCUAUAGGUUCAUGCCGGGCUGCAGUUGGCUUUGUAGCUGCCUGUUCCUCCUUGCAACCUCUCUGCUGGUGCUUUGUUUUGUGGGAAGAGCAGGGACUGAGCAUGAAGUAGCUGGGGACACCACAGCGACAUCUCCUGAUGGGCACCGGGCGAGAUUGGCUCCUGCUCCUGAAGCCUCUUCCAACUGCUGCUCAUCCCACCACGUUGCAAAGCUGCGCUGAGGCACUGUGGGAAACAGGCAGGAGGUGAGGAGGCUCAUCGGGGAAUGGCAGCUUACCAGCACUGCUCACUCGCAGCCCUGCUUGCAACAGCAGAGUGAGACGUGCUGGAAACCACGCUGGAGUUAACGCACUUGUCGCUGCGAGCCUCUUCUUUAAAGCCCCUCUGUGAUGAGAAACAAAGGCUUUCUCGCCUAGCCGUCGCCCUAGCAUCAUCUAUUAUGCAUCGUCUUAUGCAAAAUAAAUAAAAUACAGAAAACAGCAAGUAUCUGUGAAAACAGCAUUUUCAUAAAUUAUACAAAAAAGAACCAAUUGGAGGAACUUCAAGAAAAAGGUUUGCCAAAAUUUCGAUCGUAACUUUCAAAUUAGGGUCUAAAUGAAGUGUUCAAAGACAGUUUUCAGUUUUGUUUCCCCACUCCACCAACAUCAGAAGAACAUUUAACAGACACGUUACUUUCCGGCCACCAUACCUGCCCUUGGAGUGAAACAAGGGUUCAUGUAUACGAGUCUCCCAGACAGCACGGUUGCUCCGUGUGAUGAUGGAGCUAUUGGGGCCAUUAAUAAAUGCUGACCACCUUGUGGGGGCUGUGUGUGUGUGUGAAGCUCUUCUGAAGCACCUUCCUUCGGUGACUCCACCCCCUGAUGGGUUUUCUGCAGAUACAGAAAUAGGGCAACUCUGGAUUAGUGCAGCACAUUGUGUGAAGCUCAGAAGUUUCACAGGCAGAGUCCUAGAGCUGUGUUUCUCGAUAUAGUUUAAGCACUCAAAUAUCUCGGGUAUUGCAGAGAGGAAGUGAGAGAGCUAUGUGCCUUCUCAACCCUCGCUGGGAAUUAUCAGCAGAGCUGAGCUGUGCUGUCAUGGGAACAGGGUUGUUGAAGCCAGCCCUGAAGAGGGAUGUUGGUUUGAUUGUGGUCCUCAGUCUGAGUUGGACUAGAAGGUUCAACAUUCUAAAAGGAAAACGCAGAAGCCCUGUCUUUCUGAGGCUUGUCUGCAACAUACGCUCAUUCCUUCCAAAUUAUUUGCUGGAAAAAAUUUAAUAAAUAAUCAUAGAGUAAUUAACAUGUUCCAGUUCCUGUCUAUACUGGUUGAUACUGAUUCAACGAGUAUGAAUGAACUUAUGAGGUGGGUGACGUUGUUAUCCCCAGUUUACAGAUGAGGAAACUGAGGCACGGUUUAACUUACCCGAGGUCAUAGCAGUAGAGUUAAGAUUUGAAAUCAAAUGUCUUACUCUCUCUCAUCAAUGAAAACUGAGCUACGAUCUAUCAGCUCAGCACAUAACAACACAGGAUCAUCCUAAUUAUUUCCAAUGUCCCCCAGAGUGAUUCUUUUUUCUUAUGAUAAAAAUUAUCUGGAAAUUUCUAGGCACAUAAGCAGCUGAAAAGGUUGCAUGUGAGGCAAUGAAUAGCAGAAAUAUUUGUGUGCCAUUUUUAUAUCAACAUGUUAAUGUGUGCUAAUGAAUUUUAG